GCCAAACUCUAGCCCAACAUCCCAAACAACCGUAAUGACACAAAAACACUACCCUAUCACUAAACUAAAACAUUCCCUAACCCCAGUAUAGGAGAUAGAAAAGACCUUCCCCGGCGCUAUAGAACUCCGUACCGUAAGGGAAAGAUGAAAUAAAAAUGAAAAUCAAAGCAACUAAUAGUAAAGAUCAACCCUUGUACCUCUUGCAUCAUGGUUCAGCAAGAAUAAUCAAGCAAAACGAACUUAAGCUUGUCCUCCCGAAACCCAAGCGAGCUACUUACAAGCAGCUAUUUCUGAGCAAACCCGUCUCUGUUGCAAAAGAGUGGGAUGACUUGUUAGUAGAGGUGAAAAGCCAACCGAGCUGGGUGAUAGCUGGUUGCCUGCGAAACGAGUCUAAGCUCUACCUUGACCUUCUCCUACCCAGAACAACCCCAACCCCAGUGUAAUAAGUCAAGAGCAAUUUAAAGAAGGUACAGCUCCUUUAAAAAAGAACACAAUCUCCCCUAGCGGAUAACUUUCCCCCUCCACCAACUGUGGGCCCUCAAGCAGCCACCACCAAAGAGUGCGUCAAAGCUCUCUACCCUAAAAAUCCAAACACACACACGACUCCCUUAACAAUAGCCGGCUAACCUAUAAAGAUAGGAGCACCAAUGCUGAAAUGAGUAACUAGGGCAACCCCCUCCUAAGCGCAAACUUAUAUCUCCACAUCAUUAACGUACAACAACCAAUAACAUAACCCAAACCAGCCUAAAUAUUGACUACCUCCGUUAAACCCAACCCAGGAGCGCCUGAACUAGAAAGAUUAAAAUCUGUAAAAGGAACUAGGCAAACUCAAGGCCCGACUGUUUACCAAAAACAUAGCCUUCAGCUAACCAAGUAUUGAAGGUGAUGCCUGCCCAGUGACAUCCUGUUCAACGGCCGCGGUAUCCUAACCGUGCAAAGGUAGCACAAUCAAUUGUCCCAUAAAUCGAGACUUGUAUGAAUGGCUAAACGAGGUCUUAACUGUCUCUUACAGAUAAUCAGUGAAAUUGAUCUCCCUGUGCAAAAGCAGGGAUAGACACACAAGACGAGAAGACCCUGUGGAACUUAAAAAUUACAGCCACAGCAACAAACCAUCAAACCUACCAGGCCCACAACCCCUUCAAACAUCUGGCUCACAUUUUUCGGUUGGGGCGACCUUGGAGAAAAACAAAACCUCCAAAAAUAAGACCUCACCUCUUAACCAAGAACAACUAUUCAACGUGCUAAAAGUAACCAGACCCAGUACAGCUGAUCAAUGAACCAAGCUACCCCAGGGAUAACAGCGCAAUCCCCUUCAAGAGCCCCCAUCGACAAGGGGGUUUACGACCUCGAUGUUGGAUCAGGACAUCCUAGUGGUGCAACCGCUACUAAGGGUUCGUUUGUUCAACGACUAACAGUCCUACGUGAUCUGAGUUCAGACCGGAGCAAUCCAGGUCGGUUUCUAUCUGUGACACACCCUCUCCAGUACGAAAGGACCGAGAGAGUAAGGCCAAUACUCCAGGCAUGCCUUCCCCACAAGUAGUGAACCCAACUAAACUACCAAGAGGCCCCCCGACCACUUCCCCAAAUCCCCCAAAAAAAGGGAN
rnacentral:rRNA from 1 species